UCUGGCUCAGGAUGAACGCUAGCUACAGGCUUAACACAUGCAAGUCGAGGGGCAGCAUUGGAGUAGCAAUACUUCAGAUGGCGACCGGCGCACGGGUGAGUAACACGUAUCCAACCUGCCGCUUACUCGGGGAUAGCCUUUCGAAAGAAAGAUUAAUACCCGAUGGUAUAAAGAGUUCGCAUGUUCUCUUUAUUAAAGAAUUUCGGUAAGCGAUGGGGAUGCGUUCCAUUAGAUAGUUGGCGGGUAACGGCCCACCAAGUCUACGAUGGAUAGGGGUUCUGAGAGGAAGGUCCCCCACAUUGGAACUGAGACACGGUCCAAACUCCUACGGGAGGCAGCAGUGAGGAAUAUUGGUCAAUGGACGCGAGUCUGAACCAGCCAAAGUAGCGUGAAGGAUGACUGCCCUAUGGGUUGUAAACUUCUUUUAUAAGGGAAUAAAGUGAGGGACGUGUCCCUUUUUGUAUGUACCUUAUGAAUAAGGAUCGGCUAACUCCGUGCCAGCCGCGGC
rnacentral:rRNA from 1 species